CAUUCCUCCACGCUGCGCAGCCCCAACCCCCCAUCUUCACUAUCUUCGCUACGCAGCCCUAGCCUCUUCUUCACCCUCUUCCCUGUGCAGCACACACCCACGGAUUGUGGAAGGAAAGCUUGGCACCGUCGAACAGAGAAGGAAGGGAGAGGGAAGAGUUGCUCGCACCGUCACCACGCUGCUGCUGCGACCUAACCGCGUUGCCGCUGACCCGUGAAGCUACCGCCAGAACCGCGCGAGGAGCGUCAUCGUCCUGUGGAGCCGUGUCGUCGCCAUUCAGCCCACUGUCGGAGCAGAGACGUGCGAGGGAGGAAGACACCGCCAGCCGCCAAUCUGGUCUGAGGGAGAGGGAAUGCCUCUGCUGCCAGCUUUGGGGUGUCAUUCAAGCCGCUGCCCAGCCACCGUCAAGCAUAGUCUGCCGUCAGAAAAGGGUUCAAGCCUCUGCUAAUGGAGCUAGCCGGGACUAUUCCAAGGUUUUGCCGCUCAUUCCGAUCCUGCUCUAUUUUGGUUAAUGCCGUUGUCAUUAUUCUGGCUACUUCUGCCGUCGCCGGAAAAACACUGCCGUCGAAAACAGCCGCGGAGUCCUCUGUGUUAGUAAGCUCUAACCUUGCUUCAGCUUCUUUAUCUGUUAAGUUUUCCAUUACCAUGAGAGUUGUUGCUAAGGCUGGUUGUGCUAGGAGUUUAUCGCGUGUUGUCGUCGUUCUGGUCACCGGCUGUGGCGUUGGUGUUGUCGGAACCGCCACUGGUGCUGCCGUUACUUGGUUCCCUCGAAGUUGCUAUGGUUACUGCGAAAGUGGCUUGGAGCUGAGGUUGCGGUUGUCGGUGAUUUCGGGUUGAGAUAGAAGGUUCCUGUGACGCGUUUGGGUUAUGGUUUUGCGUAUUGAGGUCUUUUCUUUUUCAGGUUACAGACGAUGAAGUUCGAAAGAGCUUAAUUCUUUUCUGUUAGACGAUAUUUCUGUAUUGUUUUAGUAUUUAUAUUUCCCUCACCUUUAGCUUUGCAAGUUUUGUAAGAGGGAUAGGAUUUUGAUAUGAGAUAUUUGUAAAUUAAUAUGUAUGUAUACGUAUAUGUAUAUAUAUAUAUAU